rnacentral:rRNA from 1 species
UGAGGAAUUUUGCGCAAUGGGGGAAACCCUGACGCAGCAACGCCGCGUGAGUGAUGAAGGCUUUUGGGUCGUAAAGCUCUGUCAAGUGGGAAGAACCCACAUGGUGUUAAUACCACCAUGUGUUGACGGUACCACUGAAGGAAGCACCGGCUAACUCCGUGCCAGCAGCCGCGGUAAUACGGAGGGUGCAAGCGUUAAUCGGAAUUACUGGGCGUAAAGCGUGCGUAGGCGGUUUAUUAAGUCAGAUGUGAAAGCCCCGGGCUCAACCUGGGAACUGCAUAUGAUACUGGUAAGCUAGAGUAUGGUAGAGGGGGGUAGAAUUUCUGGUGUAGCGGUGAAAUGCGUAGAUAUCAGAAGGAAUACCAGUGGCGAAGGCGGCCCCCUGGCCCAAUACUGACGCUGAGGCACGAAAGCGUGGGUAGCGAACAGGAUUAGAUACCCUGGUAGUCCACGCCGUAAACGAUGUCAACUAGCCGUUGGGACCUUGAGGUCUCAGUGGUGCAGCUAACGCGUGAAGUUGACCGCCUGGGGAGUACGGCCGCAAGGCUA